ACGAACGCUGGCGGCAGGCUUAACACAUGCAAGUCGAGCGCCCCGCAAGGGGAGCGGCAGACGGGUGAGUAACGCGUGGGAACAUACCCUUUACUACGGAACAACUCCGGGAAACUGGAGCUAAUACCGUAUGUGCCCUUCGGGGGAAAGAUUUAUCGGUAAAGGAUUGGCCCGCGUUGGAUUAGCUAGUUGGUGGGGUAAAGGCCUACCAAGGCGACGAUCCAUAGCUGGUCUGAGAGGAUGAUCA
rnacentral:rRNA from 1 species